UCAUUUUUUUUUUAUUAACCUAAUCUUUAACCUUCCCGAAACGUCUCUUCUUUCCUCUCUGCGAUCUUUUUUUUAUCGCCGACAAGCCGCCGACGAAGGGGUAGGCGACAAGGAGUCAACUAGCGCCAGUUGCUCGAGAGGUAGCCAGUGAGGUAGUGAAAAAAGGCCGCUCGUGAGGCAGUCGCUACCUCACCAGUGCGCGAGGUAGCCAUUGACUCGCCAAACGAAGAGCGAUCGCUUCAUGUGCAGGAAGUUAGCGAGCAUCUCCGUCACCACCAAUGGCUGUAUUCCCUUCAUGGGGAUGGGCGAGACCAAUUUUCUUGGAGGUGUUGCCAGGGUGAAGGGUUCAACAUUGUAGUAUGCGAAGCCAGAGGCUGGAAUUAGAUUUCUUGGAGCUCUUGAACUCAUGAAUUUAAGUGACAAUAGGCUUCCCUUUAUCAAUUGUUUCUUCAAUUUUUUUAACCAUAACUAAAUUGAUUAAGCUAUUGGUUUGAUGUACUCGAUGAUAGUACAAAAGAAGAGGACUUAAGGUUGUUGUUGCCUCUCGUGUUGACAGGAUGAAGGUUGAUGCAAAUUUAGAUGCUUUUGGUUGAUGCUGAACCGUGGUGGAUUAGUAGAUUAUAAAUCUAAUUUAAUUUUGAUGAA